UGAACAUAGUUUAUAAAAAUUUUAGUCUGUGAAUCUAGAGAUGAAAGUUAACAACUUUCUGUUCACCG
rnacentral:tRNA from 1 species